rnacentral:rRNA from 1 species
GACGAACGCUGGCGGCGUGCUUAACACAUGCAAGUCGAACGGUGAAGCGCCUUCCUUUUUGGUGGGUGUGGAUGAGUGGCGAACGGGUGAGUAACACGUGAGUAACCUGCCCCCUUCUUCUGGAUAACCGCAUGAAAGUGUGGCUAAUACGGGAUAUUCUGGGUCUGUCGCAUGAUGGGUCUGGGAAAGAUAUUGUUUCGGUGGGGGAUGGGCUGGCGGCCUAUCAGCUUGUUGGUGGGGUGAUGGCCUACCAAGGCGGUGACGGGUAGCCGGCCUGAGAGGGUGGACGGUCCCACUGGGACUGAGACACGGCCCGGACUCCUACGGGAGGCAGCAGUGGGGAAUAUUGCACAAUGGGCGCAAGCCUGAUGCAGCGACGCCGCGUGAGGGAUGGAGGCCUUCGGGUUGUGAACCUCUUUCGCCAGUGAAGCAGGCCUGCCUCGUUUGUGGGUGGGUUGACGGUAGCUGGAUAAGAAGCGCCGGCUAACUACGUG